UACGGAGGGUGCAAGCGUUAAUCGGAUUGAUUGGGCGUAAAGGGCGCGUAGGUGGUUUACUGAGUGAGUUGUGAAAUCCAUGGGCUUAACCUGUGGCAGUCAACUCAGACGGGUAAACUGGAGUACAGUAGAGGGUCGUGGAAUUUCCGGUGUAGCGGUGAAAUGCGUAGAGAUCGGAAGGAACACCAGUGGCGAAGGCGACGACCUGGGCUGAAACUGACACUGAGGCGCGAAAGCGUGGGGAGCAAACAGG
rnacentral:rRNA from 1 species